GGGAGCGCCGGGCUUCGUCGCCUCGUGCUGCCGGCGGCGGGCUCUGUGGGACUCCCCGCCGCGGGAUUUUGGUUUGCCCCGUAGCAAAAAAGCAUGCAGGCGCGCUCCCCGAAGAAGAGCCCCACAGAGGGCACGGAGCACACGGACGGGAACUUCAGGGUAUCCCUCGGUCGGGAAGUUCCCCGAGCCCCCGUCCAGAGCGGGGUGAGUGCUGAGGGCUGUCCCUGGGCCGCCGCCCCUCGCCCUGCGGCUGCAGACACCAACCCGCCAGCGCACUGCCCGGUCUGACCCACAGCAGCGGUUCCUGUGUCCUCUGAUCCCAUCCUGACGUAACACGGUAACGUGAGUGAUUUCUUCAGUGCUGCCAUUCCAGUGAAGGUUGCAGUAGAAUCUCCUUCCAUGUUAGUCACCGUGCUGGAGUAAGUUCUCUGGUUGUGUCUCCUGUCAUCAAGUGGCACCCCAUCCAGAUGUCUGCAAGGAGGAGAUCUCCUUUGACCUGGACAGUUUGGCUUCAUCUUGGAUACCUUUUGACUUCAAAGAUUUAAUCGUGAUCACCAGUCAGAUCUCUAUGUCAUGGGCUUCAAAUCACUAGCAGGGAGACUGCUACAAUUUCAGCUGCAACAUUUGAUGUAUAAAUCCCUUAUCCCAUCUGUUCGCUUAAUCCAGGAUUCUGAAACACGUUCAGGGAACAGAAAAGGUUCCUGUCCUGCUGUCUGGGGGAGAGUUUUGGUAGCCUGCCCGGCCAACCCUAGCCCAGAGUAGUCCCAGGUGUGGGAACAAGGCUGCCCACCAUCGCAUUGGCAUCAACAUAACUGAUAGCUCUCAACAUGCUGCAUCAGCGAAAGCACACAGACAAAUGAGGCUGGCCAUGGAGUCACACCAGCCUCAGCAGGACCUGUACAGAUCAGCUGUGAUCACCAGGGUUGCACAACCUUCCACAAGUGAGAAGUGGACUCUGGACAGCGAGAUAUGCAUUACAAGAUAAAGCUGUCCUGCUAUGCCACAGCAGUUGAAGAGUCUGAGCAUGCCUCAGUGGCCCUACGCUCCCAGCACACAAAGCCAUCUGCAGCCACCAGUCAUUUGGAGCAGCCUCUCACAUGCUGGCUUUCCUACAGGGAGUUUCUCACAGCAGGAUCAGCCGCCCUUCCAGCACAUCACAGGUGUUCUCCACAUGGCGUGAGCAGCAUUUCUCUCCUCUGGUUCUGGGAGAGGAAAUUCUGCAAACCAAAUGUGAACUCAGGAAAGGGAGGUCCUAGCAAACUUGCUGUGCCAAAGGCAAACACAAAAGGCUCACCUCUGCAGUUGUGCCCGACUGAGCAGUGCCAGCAAAUAGGGGAGUGCGGUGCCAGACUCAUACAGAGUGGUACGGGGUCAAGGCAAGGCUUUUUGCUGGGAACAGGGUGUGUGCGGGCUGAAAAGCACUGAGGAGGAACUGAGGCCAUGGCUGAUCCUGGGGGGUGUCCAGAUCAGCUCUGCAGGCGAGGUUAGUGCCUUUGCUCCUCUGUCAUCACCAGUCCCUGAGAGCAAUCACCACCCACCAACAGUUCCUCAAGAUAAGACUGAGCCAGCUGGGAGAAGAAAUCCUUUGAUAUUUCCCUGCCUCGCUGACUGCGUUUUUCACAGCUCACAUCUCAGAGAGGACCAGCAGAGAUGACUGGGCACGUAAGAAUAACACUGGACUGGUAUGCAAGGAAGGUGCUAAUCUUCUGCCAUGUGUGUAGGGCCUGGGCAGAAUGAGGCAGAGCGCAGUGCUGGAGUCUCCCUGAUCCUCCCAUGGAUAUCAGCAGCUGCCACACCUGGAGUCUGCAGCAAAGCUCCUUCCUCCAGAGGCCAAGAGCUGAGCCUACUGUUUCCAGCAAGGAAUCUUACGAUCUAUUUAUUCUCAAGAUUAAAUUUCCCUGUCCAGAACAUGUAUCAAAAAAGUCCUCCCAAACACAGAACGUGCUCAGUGAUUUGUUUCCUGAUAUUCAUUGCUCCAUAGUCGCCAUCCCUGGAGAUGUUCAAGAGCUGUGUAGAGAGAAGCCUGCGCUUGCUGGGGGACUUGCUGGUGGGGCAGUGCUGUGUGGAAGGGCUGUGCUCACACCAUGAGAUGAGGCCAUCUAACAGACGAAGCAUGCAGGAUUUGCACUGACCGACGCCUGCACGGCUUCAGAGCUGUUUAUGGAUGUAAGGCUUGUCGUGGCUCUUCUCCCAGACACCUCGCUGCUGUCACAGCUCAGCGUUUGCCAUAUGUUUCAGCCCAGUGCUCGAAGCCUAAUAAAAAUGUCUAGCUGUAAAUCACCAGAGGUGUAGGCUGUGACCCUCUUUACUCCUACCUCUUCCACCACCUCUCAGCCACCCUUUUCCAGAUACUGGAAGCAGUAUAGCAAGAGUGCUUCUCCCAUCGGCCUCCUGCCAGAGCAGUGAUGCCAGGGUGAUUCAUGUUCUGGGAGUUGGGGAUGCAAACAACAUGGUGGAGACCAAGCUGGAAGGCAUGCAAGUGGGCUCCAAGCAGAAGCAAGGAGAUGCUGUGUCUCAAGUCUCCCUGUGAUGCUGCUUGUAAGGAUACUGUAUUUGAUCACAUCUGCCUUACUUGGGGAAAGAAGAGCUUGC
ensembl:lncRNA